GNGNACCANNNNNGCNGUCGACGAUUCCUACGGGAGGCAGCAGUGGGGAAUCUUAGACAAUGGGCGCAAGCCUGAUCUAGCCAUGCCGCGUGUGUGAUGAAGGCCUUAGGGUCGUAAAGCACUUUCGCCUGUGAAGAUAAUGACUGUAGCAGGUAAAGAAACCCCGGCUAACUCCGUGCCAGCAGCCGCGGUAAUACGGAGGGGGUUAGCGUUGUUCGGAAUUACUGGGCGUAAAGCGCACGUAGGCGGAUCAGAAAGUUGGGGGUGAAAUCCCGGGGCUCAACCCCGGAACUGCCUCCAAAACUCCUGGUCUUGAGUUCGAGAGAGGUGAGUGGAAUUCCGAGUGUAGAGGUGAAAUUCGUAGAUAUUCGGAGGAACACCAGUGGCGAAGGCGGCUCACUGGCUCGAUACUGACGCUGAGGUGCGAAAGUGUGGGGAGCAAACAGGAUUAGAUACCCUGGUAGUCCACACCGUAAACGAUGAAUGCCAGUCGUCGGGUUGCAUGCAAUUCGGUGACACACCUAACGGAUUAAGCAUUCCGCCUGGGGAGUACGGUCGCAAGAUUAAAACUCAAAGGAAUUGACGG
rnacentral:rRNA from 1 species